rnacentral:lncRNA from 1 species
CUUUUUGUCUUCACAGGCAAUACGCAAAAGAGAUGACCUUCUGAGAAAGUCGGAAGCUGAUUUCCUGCGGGCAAAGAAAGGAAUCAAAGCAAAAGUGACUGAGGUGGAGCACCUUGGCAGUGUGGUCAAGAAACUGAAAGCCAGUAUCCAGGACACACAGAAAGAAAGGAAUCAGACAGAGACAGAAACUGCCAUACUGAGAACUGAGCUUCAGCAGCUAAAUCAGGAACUGCAGGGUGUGCAUUAGCAGUGCAGAAGGACAGCCCAAGAACUUGCCAGUCAAGAUGAAAAACUUCUUCUAAUGGAAUCCAGCUUGAAAGCAACUCAAGAGCAGCUAAGUGAGCAAACAGCAGAAACAGUUCACCAAGAACAGAACAGUAGAAAAUCACAGACAGAGCUGAAAGAAGAUCCUGAGAGAACGUAUUAUAGCUUCUGAUGAAGAAAUUAGUGAUUACAAAAGCUGUCUCUAAGCAAGAUGCUGCCAAAUAAAAGGAAAUUUAGUGUUUGAACUUUUAGUCACAACAGUAAGGCACAUAUGAGAUUGCAUACUAUACUUGAGAAAAGUUUAAACAGAAAAAUGUACCUCUAUUCUCAGAAAAAAAAAAAAUAGUAUCUAUAAGUUUAUAAGUUUAAAUGUUAGCUCUGAAGAUUUUAAUUAAAAAAUACUAAUCUUCAACAAAUAACUUUUAUAAAUUAUAAUGACUUUAAAUGUAUUUUUAUAUUGAGACACAAAAUGAUACAUUAUUCAGAUUUUUCAAGAUCUACAGUAUGGUAGAAAUGAUUCACUACUGCUUCUUUUUGCCUUAUUGUAUGCAAACUGUUACAUAUGUUAUAUUAAAAAAUUGUUAAAUGUAGAGACAGAAACUCAAGCUGUUUUAUAAUAUCAUAGAGUGCAGGUGAAUGCUUUAUAAAGAGAGCAUGACUGAAAUAAAGUUUAUUCAUUCAGUGGUAGGUUGAACAUUUAAAGAGAAAUGUUUUAUCUCAGAUUUGUACCAAGCAUCAAGGACUGUCUCUACAAAUCUCCUCUGAGAGAAGCUUUGCUAGGUUUAGAUGCAAUAAACAUAAUGUUUCAAAAUCACAAUAUGACAAUGUUAUAAUUUGUAUGCUCAGUGUAAAUAGCUUCUAGACUGGAACUUCACUCUGUAUUCAAAAGUUUAAAGCCAAUUUUUCUGCUGAAGACUGGGAAAAUCUCUAUGGGAAGAAAAAAACGCACAAGAACAAAAACAUUGUCUACAGUAAUAUGUCUUCAUUUCUUUAAAUAAAAUAGCUUGGUGGUUUUCAACUUCUAGUUAUACCUCUAAAGACCUUACUACUACUUCUCUAGGGACAGUAGUGUCACUGAUUUGCUUUCCUAACCUAUCUUGACUCCUUUGCUACAGUAAGCUUUCUUAACCAUUUCAAGUGAUUCUUCAGUUGCCAAAAUGCCAUGUUAUGCAAAUUCCUGUAGAUAUUUACUUCAAAAUUAAAAGGUUAAAAUCUUCUAGGAGUACUGGCUGUAAGUUUGUGUGAUACAGUGAUAGAAAUGGUAGGGGAUGUGGGAGGAUUGAAACCUCCAGCUGUAUCUGAUCAAAUGUGUGAUGAAAUACAACACUUGAUAGAGCAGGAAUUUUGCAAAAGUGAAAUGAGUUUCUCUGUUCUUCAAAUAGAAAGACAAAUGAUAAACACUACAAGACUUUGAGACACAUUUCUUUCUUUUUUUUUUUUUUUAUGAUUUCAUAGUAUACAUUUUGUGAAUAAAUAAAAACUUGGAUGAAUCUGUUAACAUACAAAAAUUCACUAAGCCACCUUUUUUUCUGUUUAUAUUUGAUUUUCUUUUUCUGCUCUAUUUUUCUAUUUCUGUUUUCACCAAACUAAUAUGUUUGUUGGCUUUGGAAGUUUGUUAAUUUAGUACAUGAGCAUAAUGUAUUUUGAGUUAGGGGAGUCUUCAGGUUACAGCUCUAUAGAUUGUCAAGAUUAUUUUUAUAGGCUCUUAGGUUAAUUUUUAUGUUUAAGUUUAUGACACUUGUUUUUUAAAAGUACUGUGAUAUUACUGCACGAUUAUAGAGAAGUAUUUGUUGAAUUAGGAAAAUUAACGCUGUAAAUUUAAAAUUUUAAUAAAGUUGAAAUUAUAAAGAUAAAAACUAAGAAACAAAAUUGAACAUUUUAGAUAUUAAAUUCCCCCUUAAAGAUAACAUUUUACUGAAUACCUGAAAACAAACAUGUUGUGCCAGACAGUAUCUGCUGUGCUCUGUUCCUUGAGAGGCAGAAAGAACAAUGGAUCUCUUUCCCCAUGGGUGUUUGGGGACAGGGAAUGUCGUAAAGGUUAUGUUCAUUUACUAUGAAGGGCACAGCACGUGUUGUAAAGUAACAUCCCUUUGGUGCUGACUUAUUCGAAGUCACAUAGUCCUGGACUUUACCUACCACCCUACUUAGUGAUUCUGGCAAAUGCAGAUGGUAUCAAGGUGAGAGCUUAGGACCUUACAAAGAAAAAUGCAGUGAAGCAUAAAUUGGUGGAUUUAAACUACCGAGAGAGUUAAGAUUCUGCUAUAGCUGUUGUGACGCCUAUAAGGAGAAAAGUCCAUUUUUGUAUGCUUUUAUUUCCUUGUAAUGUAAAUGUACAUUAAAGGAUAUUUCUCCUGGAAGUGGUGUAAAAGGAAAGUACUGAAGAGCAUUUAAAAAACAAUAAAACUAGCAUUAUUUGUGCUAGUUUACAAAAAUAUUUUUUUAUAAAAUAGAAUAAAAAUAUUUUACUAACUGUACUGGAUUCUCAAAAUGCAUGUAUUCCAGGUAUAACCAAAAUUUGUAAGUAGUCACAAGCUAUGUUUGCUAUAUACUUAUUCUGGAUGAAAUAAACCUAAAGUUACACACACUCCCCCCCAGCCUCCAAUAUAAGCCUGUUACACUUGAAAGAUUUGUUCGGAAUGUCCAGUGGGAACCUGGAAAUCGUAAUAAUUUGUAGUAUCGAUUGUGUGAAGCUAUGCAGCUGGGGCCUCUAGUGAAUAGACAGGAAUAGACAUUUUAUUGAUUAACUUUUACAGUCAUAUUUUCAAGACUCUGCUGCAACAUAAUUUUCACUUCCCAGCUUUGUGCUGCUGCAUCAUGAAACUUGAAUUCUUCUCUCUUAACAUUUACCCACCUGAGGGAAACAGUAUGGAGUUGUCUCUUUUAAGCUGCGCUCUGCAGAAAUGCAUAACACUUGACACAGUGAAUUCUUCAAAAUUUACCCUCCGCUGUUGCAAUAAAAUGAAAAAUAUUAAGAAGUGAUAUUAGUAUCACCCAAGUUGAACUGCCCACUCCAUAUGUUAGACGCCAUUGUUUCAUACUUCCUAGUAAUUUUAUCCACCUUUUUUUUUAUUUUUAUUUUCUAAGGGGCUAAGAUUGUGGCAAAAAAAAUUGCCACCCUCCUCACACCACAGAUUCCAGCAGUGCUUAAUGGAGUUUGUCUCAUAAUUAAAUAGGUGAUUUUAUUAGUUACUGGAGAAGAAUAAGUGCUUCCCUGAAAAUGUGAACUAUGAAUUAAAAAAUACUCAUUUUUAAGAGUGACAGCCUGUGUCAAAUAAAAUUCCUUGUAAAAGUACAGAAAGGGCAGUUUUUCAUUAUAAUUAUCAAUCUAUCAUUUAACAAUGUAAAAAUAUGUACCAAAAUAGUAAACAGACUAGUCUUAGAAAGCAUUAUUUCACAUUUCUGAAGUUAUUCGUUUUCAGAAAAGAAAAAAAAAAGGGGGGGGGGGGGCAUUUUGCCAUUUUGUAAAGAACUGUUGCAUAUUUUCUGAUUUUUUCCCAGUAUGAUUUGCAUUCUAAAUCAGAUGCCCAAGCCACUAUUCUUUCAUGCUGAUAAAAUUGCUGGUAAAAAUCUCAAUCUAUCAUUUUUUUUUUCAUCUAAUGACUGUUUCUUUGUUGUUGUUGUUGUUGUUAUUUUACAUGGUAACUUUUACUUGAAUGCUGUUUGCAAUGUAAGUUUGAUAACAGCUUUCACAAAAUAGGACAAAUAUUCACAUACAUUGCCACUGGUGCUAAUAUGAUUUAGACUUCUGUCAUUCUAUUAUUUUUCCUAGAGAUAUUUUAUUACUAGUGUCUUCUAAGUAUCUAAAUGUUUAAGAUAUUUGUGGUCAUGUUUCCUUUUGUCCUCCCGCUCAUCAGAUACAUCUCAGUGUGCACUGUAUGGAGACACCAAAGCAGAAAUACUCGCAUAGAUGACAGAAUGUUCAUCUUGUUUGCAGUUGUCUAAACUCUUACAGAAAAAAUCCUGAUUUCUCUUAAAAAAGCAGAAAACUGUGUGGAGAACUUUAAGGUAAGAAUAAAAGGAUCAAAGAAAGUUGGAGAACAGGUGCUACUCAAGGCCUCAGUAUCCACUGGACCUGAAAUAACCUUGAAACAGAAUCAUUCUCGAUCAGAUGAAUAACGAGAAAAUUUGUUAAGAGUGCAUAGAAUUAUAUUUUUCUAAUGGACAAACUUCAUUGUACAGCAAUAUGAGAAAAGAAAUAUCACAUCCUCAUGACUUACUAGACCUCAGUCUUUCAAACAUAUACAGAUGUCAGCAGUUUCAUGAAGCCAAUUACUCUAUAACCAUGUGAAAAACUGUUCAUGAGUUUGCAAGAUUUAAGAUGAAGAUUGUUUUAAUAUUAAGGAUUACUCAGUAUUUUAUUUAGUAGUUGCAAUGCUUUAUUAUAGAAGUUAUGUUGUAAAUCAUGAUGAUUGUAGAAAAUAAAUGAAACAACUGAUCAUUUUACUUCAGAUUCAUUUAACACAAAUCCAAAUGAAUGUGAUUUGUGCAUGUGAGAAUGCAUGUGCAUGCUCUUGUGGUUUAGUUAAAGAAGGAAGAAGUCAUGUUCCCUCUUCUGAAUGUUUGUAGAGAUGUUUAAGUGAGAACAAAGUAGUAAGUUAGUAAGAUUUUUAUGUUCUCAGUAGAUAACUACCAUAGUAGUCAGACCACUGUGAACAGCAUGUUAGCUUCAUUGCUCAAUUUCAUGUUUAUUUUUCUAUUUUUUUUUCUAUUUGGAAAUAUGCAUGAUGAGGCUUCUUGUAGUUAUAAAACAAACAAACAAACAAAAAAACCUUUUUAUCGUGAAUUAAAGCAAUGAAAAUUUAUAAGAAAUUAGAAAAAAAUAAUUGAAAUAAUUAAGAUAUUUAUCUAUAUUAAAUAAGUUAGAUAUCAUAUAUAGCAAAAUGUUUUUCAGGAAGUGCAAUUGCAGAAAUUCACAACUAGUUUUAUUUCUUGCAUUUGACCCGAGAAGUCUGAUUUAAUUGUAGAAAAAAUAAAGGCCAGAUAGCUCCAUUACUUUACCUGUUUCACCUUAAAAAAAAAAAAAAAAAAAAAAAAGGAAUAUCUGAACCAUUUUAAUUGACUUAUAUUGUUUAGUGGGAUUUUAAUGCAUAAGACAUAAAUCAUAAACAUAGAAGUAUAAAAGUAUAGCUAAGAAAUGAAAUGUACAUGAACUCUUUGCUUUUUUAAAAGUACUGCAGAAUUGAAGACUUGAAGUGAAAAUUUAUGUUUAUUGAAUUUCAUAGUACCUCUGACACAAACACAUAAAUAAAUUACUGAAAUAAUAGUAAUAAUAUAGCAGAUGACCAUCCUAGAGUAGAAUAUGAUCCUACACAUUUAUGUCUUCCUAGGCAGUAUAGUUACUACUGGGAAAAAUUGAAUUGAUUGCAACGGAAAUAUACCUGACAGUAAGCAUUUACAGUGGCAGGCAAAAUUAUUUAAGAAAAGAGAAUAUAAAAUUAAGAAAGACAGAUGGAGUCAUAAGAGUGAAAUACAAAUAGUCUGAAUCAGGAUUGAUUUCAACAUAAUGUGGUGGAGGAAUCCCCAUUUAUUGAUCAACUUUAAAGCCUAUGCACAGCACUUAAAAAGAUAAAGUAAGCAAGGUCAGAUAAUCAAAGCAUUUAAAUAGUAAAAACAGCAACUGCCACUGUAGACUGCUAAAAUAAAUCCAUAAUACAAAUUGCUUUAGCAAAAAGUGGAUGAGUAGCUGAUCUUCCUAUUGAACUUUAUACUGUUCAGUGACCACACUGGGAAAAGGAUUGGGAGAAAUGCCUUGAAGAUCAAUAUUGAGUGAGAUGUAGCAGGGAUUCAUUCUGAACAUGAAAGAAUUACAAGUAUGAGAGUAGAGAUCUUGAAGAAAUGUCAUCAAGAAGGGACUAUUCUUUUAAAAAUAUCACACAUAUUACAAAAAAGUGACAUUAGUUGAUAUUCUAUCAUGAUCUCAGAACACUGAAAUCUUAUUAAAUCAACUAUUAUUACAAAACAUGAAAAUAACAAAAAGAAAGUGAAUAAUAUUACUAAAAAUACUUUGAAAAAAUCAGUAAAUUUUGUCUUAAAAAAAAGAUUUUAAAAUAUAUUAAUUUAUUAAUUAAACUGGCACGUGCAUAUGCAAUUAACACAUUUAAGUAUUAUUAUUUCCUUUUUUUUUUUUUCUAAAUAACAUUUUAGUAGAUAUUUUUAUUGCAUUAUAGAAACUGGAAGGAUCUAUUGCAAAUGCUCCAAAUUUCAAUUCAACCUAAGCCUUUACAGGCUUUUCAUUAAAAUAAAUAAAUAGAUAGAGAGAUAGAUAUGUGCUAUCACUUUCAGUUCUACAUAACUUUCAUCCAGCACUGUUUGAGACGUAUUUAUGAGGAAAAAAUCCUAGAUGUAGCAGUACUACAGUAGCUCAUUGUCUUAUAUCUAUUGAAUCAAUUGACACUUGUAUUAUAUUAUCUCAUGAGAAGUGCUGAAUUUUCAUGUACUGUUGCCCCUUAUAAAUAUAGAAUACUAGGUUUUUGUUUGUUUGUUUGUUUCAUUUCUGGUCAAUCAUCUUACUAAUAAAAAAGUAUUCUUGCCAGAAAGUUAUUACUAUCAGUGUUUGAAAAUACAGGGCUGCUCUGAAAGUAAUGCUUUUGUUUUUUUUAUGUUGGCCAACAACAUCAGACACAAAUGUGGGAGGUAUGACAGUAGAUGUUGAACUUUCCCACCAAUAUUCUGUUACGUUUUGUUGCCCUGUGACAGAUGGCAACAGAGCGGGCAGUCUGUCAACAUGACACGUGACCUGGAAGUGCAUAUGAAGUAAAUGUAUGUCAUUGAAUUCCUCCAUGUGGAAAAAAUGGCACCCACUGACAUUCACUGGCACUUGCUGAAUGUUUCUCGAGACCCAACAGUGAAUGUGAGCACAGUCAGGUGGUGGGUGGUGUUUUUCAGCAAUGGUGACAGUGUGUCACUUCCUCUGGUGCAGAUUUUUAUGAGCACAGCAUGCAGGCUAUAGUUCAUUGCAGACAAAAAUGCAUAGUUCAUCACGGUAACUAUCUUGUAAAAUAAUGUUUUGUAGCUGAGAAUUUGCUGUAUCAAGUAGUGAUCAAAUAUCAAGUAGUGUUGUUGUACUCUAUGUAUUUCUUGUAGUUUCCAUGGAAAUAGAUACAAAGAAUUAUUUUUUUAGUGACCUAGGUAUUUGUAUUUGAAACAAUAAUACACACACACACACAAUUUCGAGUAUUUCAGAAAUAUAUAUAUAAAGUAGAUAUAGUAUUCAUAUUUUCUAUGAACACCCAGUUCAGCAAAAUAUAGUAGAAAACUGAGUCCCAAAAGCAUAAAGUUUCUUCACUAUUGUAAACCUAUAGUAUACCUUCUUGUAAUGAAUAAUUAUUUACAACUAGUAUUGGUUCCAUAUUUACAGUAGGAAUUGCUGAUUACAGCAAUUUCAAUAGCAAAUUUGUGAAACAAUAUUCACAGUUGUUAGAGAAAGGUCAGCUUCUUUGCAUUCAUUAGGAACUUGGAGGACCAUUCACCGUAUUUUUCCUUUGGGGUGCUUAUAGUUAUUGAUUUGUACAUAUCUAUAGGAAAAAUUAAUUACAAUUAUUUUUCAUUUACCACUGGAGGCUGUGUAAUAAUAAUUGUAAUAACAAAGUUCAGCACAAAAAGAGGAAAAAAAAAAAGAAAAAAGAAAAAAAAGAAGAAACAGCAAAUUAAAUAGCAAUAAUUUUAAAAAAUUAAUAUUGUUAGAUUUAACUUGUUUAAAAUAAUAUCUUCUGAAUUGCCUGAGGAAAUCUCUUAUAUAACUUCCAUUAAUAGUCACAAUGUUUUUAUUUUAAUGGAAGUGCGUAGGGCACUUACAGUGAUGUGAUAUAAGGUAUUCACAACUUUUCUCCCUAUGAGUGAUCUGUAAAGAUGCUUAUAAACUCAGAAAACAUUUAAUCACAUGCUUAAUUUUCCUUACAUAGGGAACUUAAAUCAUGUAACCAGUAUAGUUAUUAACUUCAAAAUGUGAUUUAAGUGAAAGAAUAAUCCUGGCAUAAUAAAUUAAAUUAUUUGCAUGCUUACAUUUUUACUCUAGUUCUUAAGGGUCUUUCAAGAACAAGAGCUAUAUAAAACCGAAUGGAAACAUUAUAGUCAUUGUCUCCUAACUCCUUAGGUCUGAAAAAUGUGAGUAAUGCCUCCAGAAAAGCUUAAAUGGGAAUCACGCCAAGAAUGUGGGACCAGGAAAGUCAAAUUGUCAGACUGAGACAAAACUUUGUGGAAAUGGAAGAAGAAGUAAAGAACUUAAGACUUACACACAGCAAUGAUGCUCAGAUGAUUGAUAAGAAUCUGAAUACUCUGAGAAAUGAGAUGAACUUGUAUGAAGACACAUAGGAUGGUAGUCAAAUGAGCUGAAGUUUAAAUAUGAACAACACAAUGCAACACUGAGGCCUGCAUGACUGUAAGAAUGUUAGGAUAGAAAAUUGUCUUUGGUAGCAGCAAAGAUUAAAAAAAUAGUAUCACUUAAAUAAAUACAUGUGAAGAAGCCAAAUUUGUAACAAAAAGGAAACCAGUAAAUGAAUUCACAAAAGCCAGCUACUACAUAGCAAAUCUCUGUAUAAAUGGGCUGAGAGUAUGUACCAAGAAGAAGGCAAGUAUCUAUUCUUUUUCAAUGGGAAAAACAAAAAACAAAAAACAAACAAACAAAAAAGCUAUUUCAUCCUUACUUUGGGAAAAAGGCACACAAAACCAAAGCAAAAAAUGCCUCACUGACUGCAUCUGUCCAUUCUGUACUGUAAUUUGUUUCCCGCUAUGAAGAUUUAGGUUAAAUUCAUUUCUAUUAUUAAAGACAAAUAAGCUGCAAAAGAACUAAUUCUCUGUCUCCAUCUUUUACAUGUAUAUUUAUUCAUAUGAAUGCACUUUUGUUCAUUUAUUUUUACUUCUACCUUGACAAAGCUGUGCAAAAAAUAACAUAGUUUGAUUACUCAUAAUUUGCAUUUGUGUAAUUAAUAGGGAUGAAAAGGAUUAAAAUCAAUGGAGAAAUAUUUAUUUGUUUAAAUUGGAUAACUAUGGAAAAACUAUUUGGCAGGAAUGAAAGCUUUUCCAUCUAAAUUACGUCAUAUAAUUUAAACUGUUUUAGUUUUUAAGCUUAAAAAGCAUGAAAAUCACAAAGCAGAACUGGAAGAAGACACAGAAAAAUACUGCCAUGUAAAGGAAGAGCCUUCAGAACAAGGGUCUCAGCUCAAAAUUAGCUAGCUGGUCCAUUCUGGAGUGGGAAAACUGAUAAAAUGCCGCAGUACUCAGGUAAUACCCUUGAUACAAUAUGUGGAAGGGAGACAGUGUUUGAAGUAAUAUCAGUGAAUGUAUCAGAGUACUCUCAGAGAAUUUUUCCAACGGAUAAGGAAAUAUUAUUUAAAUAAUACUAACUGUAAAAUUCACUCAUGAGUGAUUGAGAAAACAUGAGAAAUAUUGUUGAAAAUAUCAAGUCAAUAUAACAGCAGCAUUUCUUCUUUUAAAAGUGUUGUGGGUGGGAUUCACCUUGUUGAACUGGAGGUAGGAAUAUUUGAAAUAGAUGUCUAAGUUCCAUUGCUGUCAUUGGAGACUUAAUCAACUCAGUGAGUGAAAUCAAGGGCUAUCAAUACCUUUCAUUACCCAAAGUGAACCUACAGAAAAGCUGGAGAGUGACUCUUUAUCAGGUAGCAUUGUCAUAGGACAAGGGAUAGUUGCCUUCAACUAAACUAGAUUAGACAUUAGAAAGAAAUUCUUCACUAUGAGGACAGUGAGAUACUGAAAUAAAUUGUCCAUAGAAACUGUGGAUGCUCCAUCUCUGGGAGCAUUCAAACGUAGGUUGAGUGAAGCCCUUGGCAACUUGAUCUCAUGGAAGGUGACUGUGCUAUGGCAGGGAAUUAGAACUAGAUGAAUUUAAGUUCUCUUCCAAACCAUUUUAUGAUUCUAUGACUAAAUAUUGAUCCAAUCAAUAUUAAGGUUUUCAGAGGAGCUGAAAAUCAAUCCCAGUGACAAUAUUAUUCAUUGUGAUAGAACACAUUCACACACCGUAAUGCAGACAUCCAAAUUUGGGUAAGAAUAAUCAGAUUAGAAAAGUUAGCCUUUUUGCAGCAAUUCAUUAUAUAAUACGGAAUUAUUUUAUUUAUUUUUGUUACUAAUAAGAGUACUAGAUGUUUCACAAGCAUAGAUACUGGUCAAUUAUCUGAGCAAUAUCCAAUAUAUAAAUACACAAAGUUAGAAGGAAAUGAUCAAUGCCAGAGAGAAAUAAAAGUUAAAAUAAUACAUGCUUUUUCUUCUGUGUCUGAGAGAAUGUGAGUAGAUGUGAAAGUUGGAAAACCAAAAGAAUUAGUAGUAUGACAACAUUCCUUUUCUACCCUAGCAUUGUCAAAAGAUAACAAGAUUAAUUCUCUGCUGUAGUAUUUCACUACAGUAGUGUGUUAAUUUGAGGGGCUUGGCUGAGCCUUAUUCAGCAUAUAAUUAGAAUUUACUGAACUUUAAUUUCUUAUCAUCUUUAGGCUGCAUUAUCAAAGUGUUUAUAUUGAAACAUUCAAAUGUUCAGUUAAAAAUAAACUUCAGUUUGUCAAGGAUACAUUGUAUACAAAUUCUGUGGAAAUAUUUGAAUAAAAUUGUUCACUUUUGCUUUGUGAGAAAUGCUUUGCACUUUACAUAUUUAUAACAUAAUGUCAUUAGAGUAUGUAUCUUAGAAAUAUAGCAAUUUCCUGGUGAAUUUAUUGAAUAAAUGCUUAUCUAAUAAGUAAUUUGAGAGUAGAGAAAGAUCUAAUGAAAAGCUAAAUACACAGUGAAAUCCUAAUCAAGCAAUUGAAAUAGUUACUCAUGAUAAAACUAAGAUUAUCAGAGUAUCAGAACACAAAUUACUCCAUUAAUCUUUUGAAUUAGUCAGUUCUUAUUUUCUGAAGCUAAGUAACUUGGGAAGGUACACUCAAGGUUUCAUCUUUCUGAAGACUGUAUUUAUUACCUUUACUUUCAUAAAGAGUUCAUUAGAAAGAAUAUUACAGUGAAAUACGUUAACUUUUUAGCCUGUUUUAAUGAGGUCAUGUGAGUCUUUAAUUAUCUGACAUAAAACUGCUUAGUUUUACGUAGUAUCUACAGAUACUAAUUAGUAUCUACAUAUAUACAUUAGUAUCUACAUCAAUUAGUAUCUACAGAUAUUAACGGAUUCAUAUGUCAUAAAGCCAGAAGAAACGCUGUUAUUGAAUCUUAUAUGUGGCACAAUGCAGGCCACAGGACUUCACUGAAUUGAGUAGUUGUAAGAGAUUAUUCUUUUAUAUGAUUGACUCAAAGUUUGCUGAGGAACAAGUCCAGGCAAGUCCUGGGCAAAGGUACAGAAAUCUUCUGUCUGGAGGACACUGAUGGACAGGUCCUGGCUAAAGGAUUGUGAAGUCCUUUAAGGAGCACAGAUGGACGAGGCCAGGGGCAACGAGAGAGGGAUAAGCUGCUGAUAAUGGCUGAGAAAUGGUCUUUUGUGUGGACUUAUCUAGAAGAAGAUGGCCAUCUCAGGAGCUACGCACAUGACUCUUGCUCAAGCACCCAGGGAUGUCACGUAGGCAGGAAAAAGAGGAGGAUAAAAGAGGGUCUAACAACCAUGAGGAGAGGGUUUCUGCCAUCAGAUCCCUCACCACGACGGACUCAAGGUUUCUGCCAUCAGAUCCUUCACUACGGACCAUAUGCUGAUGGACUUCCCUGGGCCUGCUACCUGAGACCUGCUGCUUCCUCCCAGACUUACUCUGCGGCUUCUUCCUGGACCCACCCGGUACCUGCACCCUCUCGUUGCCCAAGACCGGCCUCGCUGCUCCUGCCCUUCAGCCUCGGACCAUCAGAACAUCGUGCAACAGGACUACUGCUGGUGGUGACUAUCCCCGCUUUAUGCAAUUCUUGCUUCUUUCUAUCUUUUCUAUCGCUCGCCUUCCCUUUCCCAUCACCCCAAUCCAUAAUAGUGUCCGUCCUCCCCUUUCUUCAUCUCCCUUAUUAACAUAUGUAAUAAACUGGUCGGACCAACAUUUGAACCGUUGUUUCUUAAUCUCACGCCGGGCAUACAUAUUUCAAAGAACCUCCUCUCCCUCCUAUAAAUUGGAGUGAGACAGUAGUACAUUAUGUCUAAGUAAAUGUGAUUAAAAUGGAGUAUAUUAAAAUGGAGCAUACAUUUUUUAUACAUUCUUGACUUUAAAUAUACACAAUGUUAGAGAAUUCAUUACGGUCUUUCACAGGUUGCCUCAAUAGUUAGUAAAACAUAUAGCAUGCUGACUGUUCAUCAUUUUAGCAUCUUUCUUGGAAUGUUAUACAAAUCUCAACAUAUAUAAAAAUAGUUUUUAUGUCAUCUUUAUCAAUAACAUUUGAAAUAUCAUAAAACUGAAAGAGCAGAUAGUUUUACAAGAUGUGUUUACAGUAAAUCCACAGUAACUUUGGUUAUUAUAUUAAUGCACAUUUGUUAUAUGUAUCUACAGCUAACACAAAUUACUGUGGAAUUAUGAUAUUAGCUGUCCUGAUAUUUUGCUUGAAAGAGAUAAGUAACUACCCUCCUUGAAUUACUUGAAUCACCCUCUUAAAACCUAAGAAAUAUUAGCACAGAAUUAACAGAUAAAUUAAUCUGUACUGUUUUGGAAGUUUUUAAGGUUGUCAAGACCAAACACUGUAAAUAUGGCCUAGAAAUUCUUUUCAAAAGCACUUCAAAAGCACUUAGAUAUGUUUUACGUAGACAAUUUGAAAUAUAUUUAUACUUAUGUGAUUGCAGUCACUUUUAUCCUAAGACUAAAAUACCAUACAUUCUUCAGUUAUAAUAGAAUAUUUCACAUGAAGGGUUCUACAGAGAUCAUCAAGUCCAACUGCCUGACAACUUCAGAGGUAACCACAAGUUAAGCGUAUUACUGAGGGCAUUAUCCAAAUGCAUCUCAAGUAAUAUUAGGCAUGGGACAUCAGUCAUCUCAUUGCAGUGAGAUAAAAGCCUGUUCCACUGUUUGAUGAUAAAUAAAUGUCCAGUAUAGUCUGAAACUCCCCUGGCACAGCACAGCUGUGUGCCACUCCUGUGCAACCUGCAAUCAGCACAGAAGAUACCAGGGAGCAGAGACCAGCACCUCCCUCUGUACUUCCUCUCCUCAAGGAGCUGCAGAGAGCAGUAAAGUCAUCUUGUAGACUCCUAUUCUCCAGGCUAGACAGUCCAAGAGUCCUCACCCUUUCCUUACUAGACAUGUCUUCCAUUCUGAUUACCUGCUUUGUUGCCAUUGUCUGGACACUUUUAGAUAUCUUAAUAAUGUUUUUAUGUUGUGGGGCAUACAUUAUUCAAGGUGAGGUUGCACCAACUCCAAAUAUAUCAGGACAAUCACCCCAAAAAGCAGUUUGCCCUUUUGGCAACCAACACUGCUGGUUCAUACUGAGCCUGCUAUCAUCAGCCCUCCUAGAUCAAUUUGUUCUGAGCUGCUCUCCAGCCAUUCAUCUCUCAGUUUGUGUCAUCUCUCAGGUACUGUGCCAGGCAUAGUACCUGACAUUUACCUUUGUUGAACUUCACGCCACUGUUUCCCCAGUGCUCCAAUCCAUCCACAUUGCUCUACAAGACCUCAGCAACACAACUGACCAUCUACUAGCCAAAUGGGUCUCCAUCACUACAACACUUUGAGUUCUACCAUUGAGCCAGUUUAUCACCCUGCAUAGUGUGAACAUACUUAUCUCACAGUUGGACAAUUUGUACAGAAAGUUGCCAUGAAGGAUCAUAUCAAAGGCUUUACUGAAUUCUAGAAAGAUGACGUACGCUGCCUUCCUUCAUCCACCAAGUGGGUAAUCUUAUAAAAAGAAAUCAAAGCAAUGAAGACAGGGCUUUCCCUUCAUGAACCCAUAUUGACUAUGCCUGACAAUGGCUUUGUCCUUCAAGUGCCUUUCAGUAACACUCACUAUAAUCUUCUCCAUAAAUUUUUAGGGUACUGAAGUUAGGUUAACAAGUCUGUUACAGAUUUGUUACUUUUGUUACUUUGUUUUCAGUAAGUUCUUUCUCUUUAUUUUUUGUUUGUUUGUUUAUUUUACUUUGUUUUGGGAAGAGGAGAGCUUGUGGUGGGGAGUGGGGUUUUGUCAUCUACGUAGUGCUAUUGAAGAUAAUACUACUUUUUUAUAUUUAAACAUUUGAUCCUCAGAAAGUUUCAUCCUAUUCUUUCAUGUUUACGAGAUUUUUCUCUCUUCAAACACUUUUUUUCUUUGUAUGAACAUUUGCAAAUGAGUGUGUACAUGCAUAUCAAUGACCAUGAGUACAUGGGGCUUAUCUGUUCCUCAAAAAUAUGACUUGGUCAAAAUUACUUUUGCAUAAAGAACAACUGAAUUUCAGCAACGUAAUCCUUUCCUACUCAUAAGUCUUAAAUUAAUGUGCAAAAUUGAAUUAAUCAGCAUAUUUAAUUACAAUUUUUUUGUUAAACUUAUUUAUCUGUGAAGGUGUUAUGUAUAAUUUUUGAAAGUUAAUGGAUACAUUAUUAAGCAAAGAGUAACAGCUCCAACAAACCAGAAUUAUUUAAGUCUCUGAGGAAAACUAAGAUUUCCCUUCUGAUUCAUCUUUAAAAUCCUGUUUUCAACAUCUUUGCAAAGUUAAUUUUAGUUUUUUAAAAGCCAGGUAACUUAAAAUAAUUUUUCUGCCCUUCAUUCCUCUUUUGUUUAUCGUGUUUUUCAGAAUGUUGUUCCAUUAGUGACUUUGAAGUCAGUGAUGUUAGAUCAAAUUAUUCAAAUUACUAGCUUUUGUUGUUGCUGGUGCUGUUUUGUGGGUUUUUUUUCUUUUGUUUUGUUUUGUUUUGAUUUUCCUCUUAUGAAUGUAAUUUACUGGUGUAGUGGUUAUUAGAACAGAACUUCACAGUGUUUGUGUUUUGUCUUAAUUAUAAGUAAUUUUAUAUCACUAAUAUUAUCAGUAAACUUGUUUGUGUAUAUUUUACUCAAUGAAAUGUUAAUGCCAAACUUUGAACAGAAACUGUACUGACUACUUCUAUCUUAAAACAGACAGUACCAGUAGCUGAUUGUUUUACUUUUGUUUCCUUUCAUCAAACAACUCUAUUCAGAAGGUGAAAAUUUCCUUUUCUUCUUUUUGAUGGAAUUUCUUUUCAUUUCUCCCCUUUCUUUUCAUAGUUUUACAAACGGUCAGUUACACAGUUUAUUACAAAAUAUGUUGAGGCACAUGCCUAGAAGGUGUGUUGAAUGGCAUACUCCAUCUACUUGUGGCAUCUAUGCAUAUUAAGUUGUUAAAAGCAUGUUUGUCAAACUUAUAUGACAGUUUUAGCAAUUGUAAAAACGCAUAUUUGCUAUGCUAUGCUAGAAGAAGAGGAAGAAAAAGAAGAAGAGAAGUGAAAAAAGAGAGGAGAGGAGAGGAGAGGAGAGGAGAGGAGAGGAGAGGAGAGGAGAG